AGUGGGCGGGGCCAGGAGCGGUGGGCGGGGCCGGCAGCGAGGGGCGGGGCCAGGGAAUGAAUGGGGAAUUGAGGUGCGCCCACGUUUAGGGGGUCCCAAGGAUGGGAGGGGUGAGGGGGAUUUGGGGUCUUCCCCCCGGGGUCCCGGGGUGAUGCUCACCCGGCUCUGCUGCUCCAGUCCCCGUAGGAAUUGUCCCCCUCGGCCCCCGGCGUUGAGGAGCCCCACACGCAGCUGCGCGUGGCCCCCCACGGGCGCCCCAUCAGGGAACCUGGGGUUCCGCAGAGGACGUAAAAUGUGCACUUUGACGAAGUGAUCCAGGCCAAGAUGAUCCAGACCUUACAGAUAUCAAAGGGAAGACUCAUCAAGGAAUGAUUUAAUCAGAACAACCAUUUUGUAAGAGCCACAGCCCAAAUUGAUCCCCAUUGUGGUGGAGAUGGCUGUCACCACCACGUCUGUCAUCGCUGCCCUGGCUGGAUUUGCUGUCUGGAAGAGCAAGCAGGCAGG